rnacentral:tRNA from 1 species
GAGGACAUAGCUUAAAUGGAAAAGCCACGGUCUUCAAAAUCGUAAACAUGGGUUCGAGUGCUGUUGCCUUCG